GGGGGUGAAAGGCUUCGACCUAGAUAAGCACGACAAAGGUGGCAUGUAGAGGUUGUCAGGGGGCCUCUUAAAAAACCUGGCAAAUAUCAAAUGCUGAAACUCUAAACGUUCCGGCAUCAGUGGAUCAGCUCCUUGCAACCAUGCAAGUGGUUAAGGGCGUUGCUCCAUUGGCCUGUGCUGCUCUCUAGAUAGAGCAGUCCGUCUUGCGGUCAAGCCUGCGUGGCUGUAAAGACGACGCUAGCAGGAUAGUCUGACGCCCGUUGCCUUUAGGGUGCCGGACGAGGUUUUAAAAGGCUGCCCGUAGGAAAUUCCGUCUGCUGAAGUUCCGCCGGGGAGAUGAAUGAGCAGAAUAAACAUGUAGAGGCUUUUGAUCUGAUAUUUGGGCACGCGGGUUCGAAUCCCGCCACCUCCACCA
rnacentral:tmRNA from 1 species